UACGUAGGUGGCAAGCGUUGUCCGGAUUUAUUGGGUUUAAAGGGUGCGUAGGCGGCUUUGUAAGUCAGCGGUGAAAACUUACAGCUUAACUGUAAGACUGCCAUUGAUACUGCAGAGCUUGAAUUCAAACGAGGUUGGCGGAAUUAAAGGUGUAGCGGUGAAAUGCAUAGAUAUCUUUAAGAACACCGAUAGCGAAGGCAGCUAACUAGAAUGAUAUUGACGCUGAGGCACGAAAGCGUGGGGAGCAAACAGG
rnacentral:rRNA from 1 species